rnacentral:lncRNA from 1 species
UGCCUCUCUCUUCUAAAAACUUAAUUUUUGGGGGUGGUGGGAAAAUGGGGUGAUGGAAGCUAGUUAGGAGACAAAUAUGCAAAUCUGCAUGACCUUCCUUCAUGCUUGAAAGUAGCUUGAAGCUUCCUCCUUGAGUGAUGACUUGGAAGUGCUGCUUUAGUUCUUAAAAGGGGGGGGGCAAGCUAUGUUAAUUCAAAUUGUUAUGGCCAAUAAAAGCUGAUGUUUAUUUUGACUUAAAAUAUGUAUGUUAAAAAAAAAAAAGGCCCAAUUAACAAUUCUUUUGUAUUUCAGGCUGUGCUGACUGUCAGUUGCUCUGCCAUAAAUCUGUAACUCUCUGCUGAGGAAACAGUGCUUAAACAAGUUCCAGUUACCUUCACUGUAGCAAAGCUUUAAUCCUAGAAGUAACACUUAACACCAUGCAUAGCGGAGGAAUGUAUCAUUCUUCAUCAUCCAGUGCAUCUUUUGCAUGUUCUUGCAUCAUGAUUUCAGAGUGUAACAGCCCGUUCAUUUUG